rnacentral:rRNA from 1 species
GCGCGGCGAAAAACCUUUACACACAGUGUUUUUUGUUAUUACAAGAACUUUUGCUUUGGUCUGGACUAGAAAUAGUUUGGGCCAGAGGUUUACUGAACUAAACUUCAAUAUUUAUAUUGAAUUGUUAUUUAUUUAAUUGUCAAUUUGUUGAUUAAAUUCAAAAAAUCUUCAAAACUUUCAACAACGGAUCUCUUGGUUCUCGCAUCGAUGAAGAACGCAGCGAAAUGCGAUAAGUAAUAUGAAUUGCAGAUUUUCGUGAAUCAUCGAAUCUUUGAACGCACAUUGCGCCCUCUGGUAUUCCAGAGGGCAUGCCUGUUUGAGCGUCAUUUCUCUCUCAAACCUUCGGGUUUGGUAUUGAGUGAUACUCUUAGUCGAACUAGGCGUUUGCUUGAAAUGUAUUGGCAUGAGUGGUACUGGAUAGUGCUAUAUGACUUUCAAUGUAUUAGGUUUAUCCAACUCGUUGAAUAGUUUAAUGGUAUAUUUCUCGGUAUUCUAGGCUCGGCCUUACAAUAUAACAAACAAGUUUGACCUCAAAUCAGGUAGGAUUACCCGCUGAACUUAAGCAUAUCAA